rnacentral:rRNA from 1 species
UACGUAGGGUGCAAGCGUUAUUCGGAAUUACUGGGCGUAAAGCGUGCGCGGGCGGUUGGGUAAGAAAGAUGUGAAAUCCCCGGGCUCAACCUGGGAACUGCAUUUGUGACUGCACAGCUGGAGUGCGGCAGAGGGGGAUGGAAUUCCGCGUGUAGCAGUGAAAUGCGUAGAUAUGCGGAGGAACACCGAUGGCGAAGGCAAUCCCCUGGGCCUGCACUGACGCUCAUGCACGAAAGCGUGGGGAGCAAACAGG